GUUACUCUCACAGAUGAAGAUCUGCCUAAAAGUUCAGAAGCUGUACCAUCUCUGUGAAACAGCACUGCUGAAUUGUAGCCUGGACUAAUGACAUCGGCUUCACCUGGGAGCUUAUUAAAAUACAAAAUUUCAGCCCCACCUACACCGAACUGCAAGAUCCCAAGAAUCUAUAUUUUAACAAGCUCUCCAGGUGAUUCUCAUGCAUCCUGACAUGUAAGAAGCAACGUUCUAAUAGGCUUUCAACCUUUUUAGCACACAGGGAUCAGAAAAUGCUAAUUCCUAAGUUCCAAACCAGAUUCAUAUUUUCAUUUGGUUUGGAGUACAGCUAGACAUCAUCAGGCCUAUAAAUCAAUAGUUGGGCCAUUCAUUUGUAGUGUAUGAUUUGGCCCUUUUUAUAUAAAGUUAUUGAAAAUACACCUCAUUCUAGCAAAUUCCCCCAAGGUUGAACAGGAGUCUGCAAUGUGAUAGGAUACAAAUAUAAUCCAUUGGAUGUAGAAAUAAAAUAUUAGAACUUCCAUUUGACAUAUUUUCAAUUUCAACAUGUUAGAAGUUAUUUUCACAAUGUUUAUGAUCUCCAUAAAAUAUCAAUACAUAUAUUAAAAGUCCAU
rnacentral:lncRNA from 1 species